rnacentral:rRNA from 1 species
CCUACGGGAGGCAGCAGUGAGGAAUAUUGGUCAAUGGGCUUACGCCUGAACCAGCCAAGUCGCGUGAGGGAAGACUGCCCUAUGGGUUGUAAACCUCUUUUGUCAGGGAGCAACGCCGGCUACGUGUAGCCGGACUGAGAGUACCUGAAGAAAAAGCAUCGGCUAACUCCGUGCCAGCAGCCGCGGUAAUACGGAGGAUGCGAGCGUUAUCCGGAUUUAUUGGGUUUAAAGGGUGCGUAGGCGGAAUGCCAAGUCAGCGGUAAAAUCGCGGGGCUCAACCUCCCUCCGCCGUUGAAACUGGCGGUCUUGAGUGGGCGAGAAGUAUGCGGAAUGCGUGGUGUAGCGGUGAAAUGCAUAGAUAUCACGAAGAACUCCGAUUGCGAAGGCAGCAUACCGGCGCCCAACUGACGCUGAAGCACGAAAGCGUGGGUAUCGAACAGGAUUAGAUACCCGAGUAGUC